rnacentral:rRNA from 1 species
GAUGAACGCUGGCGGCGUGCCUAAUACAUGCAAGUCGAGCGAACGGACGAGAAGCUUGCUUCUCUGAUGUUAGCGGCGGACGGGUGAGUAACACGUGGAUAACCUACCUAUAAGACUGGGAUAACUUCGGGAAACCGGAGCUAAUACCGGAUAAUAUUUUGAACCGCAUGGUUCAAAAGUUAAAGACGGUCUUUCUGUCACUUAUAGAUUGAUCCGCGCUGCAUUAGCUAGUUGGUAAGGUAACGGCUUACCAAGGCAACGAUGCAUAGCCGACCUGAGAGGGUGAUCGGCCACACUGGAACUGAGAAACGGUCCAGACUCCUACGGGAGGCAGCAGUAGGGAAUCUUCCGCAAUGGGCGAAAGCCUGACGGAGCAACGCCGCGUGAGUGAUGAAGGUCUUCGGACCGUAAAACUCUGUUAUUAGGGAAGAACAUAUGUGUAAGUAACUGUGCACAUCUUGACGGUACCUAAUCAGAAAGCCACGGCUAACUACGUG